GAUGAACGCUGGCGGCGUGCCUAAUACAUGCAAGUCGAGCGAACAGACGAGGAGCUUGCUCCUCUGACGUUAGCGGCGGACGGGUGAGUAACACGUGGAUAACCUACCUAUAAGACUGGGAUAACUUCGGGAAACCGGAGCUAAUACCGGAAAAUAUAUUAAACCGCAUGGUUAAUUAGUGAAAGACGGUUUUGUUGUCACUUAUAGAUGGACCCGCGCCGCAUUAGCUAGUUGGUAAGGUAACGGCUUACCAAGGCGACGAUGCGUAGCCGACCUGAGAGGGUGAUCGGCCACACUGGAACUGAGACACGGUCCAGACUCCUACGGGAGGCAGCAGUAGGGAAUCUUCCGCAAUGGGCGAAAGCCUGACGGAGCAACGCCGCGUGAGUGAUGAAGGUCUUCGGAUCGUAAAACUCUGUUAUUAGGGAAGAACAAAUGUGUAAGUAACUAUGCACGUCUUGACGGUACCUAAUCAGAAAGCCACGGCUAACUACGUG
rnacentral:rRNA from 1 species